UCAGACGUGGUGUAACGAAACACGACCCCCUGCUGUUCUGUACUUCGAUAUACGUCACCAAGGGUAAGCCUCGGGUUCGACUCCCGGCGUCUGAG